AGUGAACGCUGGCGGUAGGCCUAACACAUGCAAGUCGAACGGCAGCACAGUAAGAGCUUGCUCUUACGGGUGGCGAGUGGCGGACGGGUGAGGAAUACAUCGGAAUCUACUUUUUCGUGGGGGAUAACGUAGGGAAACUUACGCUCAUACCGCAUACGACCUACGGGUGAAAGCAGGGGAUCUUCGGACCUUGCGCGAUUGAAUGAGCCGAUGUCGGAUUAGCUAGUUGGCGGGGUAAAGGCCCACCAAGGCGACGAUCCGUAGCUGGUCUGAGAGGAUGGUCGGCGACACUGGAACUGAGACACGGUCCAGACUCCUACGGGACGCAGCAGUGGGGAAUGGUGGACAAUGGGCGCAAGCCUGACCCAGCCAUACCGCGUGGGUGAAGAAGGCCUUCGGGUUGUAAAGCCCUUUUGUUGGGAAAGAAAAGCAGCCGGUUAAGACGCCGCUGGUCUGACGGUACCCAAAGAAUAAGCACCGGCUAACUUCGUG
rnacentral:rRNA from 1 species